UUAUACCUGCAAGGAAAGCCAAAAUGGUGCUUGGACACACACAAACUCUGAUCUGCCCCACCCACUGGGCUCCUCCAGACCCUUCCCUCUUCUAUCCUGUUCCCUUUGCUCCCUGAAUUUGAAAGCACGUCCUGUUUCCUGUAUAUCCCAGGGUGUUUGCCACCUCCUGGCUUCUGCCCUGUGGAUCUUUCUGUCUGUCCGCCUUCAUUCAUGUCCCCAGGAAGCCAGGAAGCCUUGACUGACCCUUCCCGAGCACCUAAAUGUACUUACUGGUUUUUAGUCUGGCAGAGCACAGAGGCCUUGCCUGUUUCCUCUCGCCCCUCACAGUCCUGUGUCUUGUGUGUUUGGCCACAGAGCGUACCACAAGCUGGUCCUGGAGCCAUGGGAACCCUAUGAAUUUGUACCGAAGCUCAAGGACUUGGUCUAGGGAUGCUGACAAGACUCACUGGGCAUGAAAGAAGACUUCCCCAAUCCCUGGGGCUAAGUAUCCUGACCUUGGCCACACAUCCUGCAGACUCCCCAGCCCUAUGUUUCUGCGGCUGGCUGACUCCGACCUGUUCUUUUCAGGGGUUCAUCACAUUCUGGGUCUGGGAGCUGAGAACCGCAGGACUGACCAGUGUGUGUAGGUUGCUUGCCUGACCCCCAAGGAUAACAGCAAUAUAGGUUCAGCAGGUCAUGACCAAGCUGGAGCCCGUGUCAACGGAGAACUCACUACCCUGUGGGACCCAGAGAAACUUGUGGCUAAGUGACAGAGCUGUGAUGUCUGCCACCAGCCUGUGUGUCUGUGCCUCUGGCAUAGCCGGCUGACUCAUGGUGCCAGGACCACUGUGUGGGGACUCAGAAAGGGACUACAGGUCUUUGUGAUGGGCAUCUGUGCCUCAUCCCAGCCCUCCUGGGAGACUACUGGGACACACAGUCAGCCACUCUCCUCUGUGAGCCCACCUGUUUUAUUUCACACAACCCUUUCUGAGCGAAAUGACCACAUUUCAAAUAUUUUAAAUAAAGAAACUGUAUAGCACGU